rfam:Taphrina deformans PYCC 5710 genomic scaffold, scaffold00247
GCACUGGUGGUGUAGUGGUUAUCAUUGUCGCCUUCCAAGUGUCAGACCGGGGUUCGAUUCCCUGUCAGUGCA